rnacentral:rRNA from 1 species
UACGUAGGGGGCAAGCGUUGUCCGGAUUUAUUGGGCGUAAAGAGCGUGUAGGCGGCCAGGUAGGUCUGCUGUGAAAACUCGAGGCUUAACCUCGAGCUGUCGGCGGAAACCAUCUGGCUAGAGUCCGGAAGAGGAGAAUGGAAUUCCCGGUGUAGCGGGUGAAAUGCGCAGAUAUCGGGAGGAACACCAGUGGCGAAGGCGACUACCUGGCCCAUUCUUGACGCUGAGGCGCGAAAGCUAGGGGAGCGAACGG